rnacentral:rRNA from 1 species
CAGUAGCCGCGGUAAUACGUAGGGUGCGAGCGUUAAUCGGAAUUACUGGGCGUAAAGCGCACGCAGGCGGUUUGUUAAGUCAGAUGUGAAAUCCCCGAGCUUAACUUGGGAACUGCAUUUGAAACUGGCAAGCUAGAGUCUUGUAGAGGGGGGUAGAAUUCCAGGUGUAGCGGUGAAAUGCGUAGAGAUCUGGAGGAAUACCGGUGGCGAAGGCGGCCCCCUGGACAAAGACUGACGCUCAGGUGCGAAAGCGUGGGGAGCAAACAGGAUUAGAUACCCGGGUAGUCCCUGUCUCUUAUAC